UUUACACUUCCAACUUUAAUUCACUUUAAUUUUACACUUCUCAACAUUGCUCUGAGAGAUCCAGGUUUCUAGGCAGCAAGUAACACGAUUUAAAGCUAAAUCCCUCCCCGCACCCCCCGCCCCCCGCCAACCCCCGCCCGCCCAGGUUCAAGCCAUGGCAACACAAUUCAGUGGUGCUUGCUGGAGGGGGAAGAGGAAGUCCUAGGAUUAAGUCAGUUUAUGUUCAAAUAACUUAAUUCAGGAAGAACAGCUUUGGUUUAGAGAGAGAUGUGGAGAGAAAUAUAGAUUUGGGUUCCAUCAUCAUAAAGUGAAACCCUAGGAGUGGGAAGAAUGAGAAAAGCAAUGAUAGGCUGGAAUCCGCACCAGCAAGCUCACCAGAAAAACCCCCUGUCUUUUUUUGGCAUGUACAGUG
rnacentral:lncRNA from 1 species